GCAGGUUAUGCAUGGUUUCUAAAUACUCCUGAACAAUCAUUGAGCUUCAUCCUUGCAGAUCAAGGUUUUGAUGUAUGGGUAGGAAAUGUGCGUGAAACACGCUGGAGCCAUGGUCAUAGGUCUUAUUCAGUGAAGAAUAAGAUUCCAUUCAUUCAGAUGAAGAUCAGUUUGAUGUAAUCCCACCAGAAACCGGUUCCGUAAGCUCACUUGGAAAGAAGAGUAUUAGAGAAGAACCAUCUAAGAGAAAGAAUCCUGGAGCAGUCAAAAUUAGUCCUUGGACAUUGGCGCGAUUAAAUGCAGAAGAGGUUUCCAAGGCUGCUGCUGAA